UGUAGUUUGUUUACAGCAUUCUAAAACUAUUUUUAUUUACAUUUGUUUUCUCUUUCUUAAUUUUUUCAAAAUGCGAUUUUGAACAUAAAUUGGAGUGCAGCAUAAACCGGUAUACUUAUUAUUAAGAUAAAUUAUAAGACAGUAAAAUCGUCAUAGGAUACAAUAAAAGACAUAGCAUUAUGAGAUCUAUUAAACUAAUAACCCAACUUAUUAUUUUUAUUAUUACACAACACGUUGCGUCUUGCAAAAUAAUAAAAUGUAUUUGUAUAAAUCGACAAAAAACGUUUUACAUCAAAAUGUAAGUAAUUCUUAUAUAUAUUUACUUGUAUUUUGUAUAGGUAAUUCAUGUUAAAAGAAAAAAAUAUGAAAAUAUAGCCAUUGCUGUCUACUGUGUCGGUUUUGGGACUCAUUCUGUUAAACGCUCAACAAAAAUUCAAUUAUUUACAAAAAUUUAUAACAAAAUUUGAAUGAUUUUAUGAAAACUGCUAUAUCUGACAAAAGACUCUUUCUGAUAUGUAUUUGCAUUUCUAAAAGUGUUAUUUUUAAUUUUUAUUUAAGAAAUACAAUUUAGAAAACAAAGUGAAUAUAUCGAUAUCAGCGACUUUCCUCUACUGUUUAAUAAACUUUGUUUUAGCUUACAAUUAGGUACACGUUCUAAAAUUACCGCAGUCGCGUGCCGGCUAUUAUGGCGCAUCCUAUUACAUCAUGUAUUAUAGAUACAUAUGUGAUGUCACGUCUCGCAUCAUAUAUAGUACGAGAUAUGUUAUAACGAUUUAGAAGUAACAUUUGAUUUUGUUUCAGACAACAAAUCUAUAUUUAAUCGAGGGUUUAGUCGACAUCAGACGCAUCCCACGAUCGGCCAGUGAACUACGUAUCGAUGACACUGAAAUUAAGGUACUGUACAGAUCGUAAAUAUCUUAUGUGCGUCGCAAUUUGUUUGUUCUUACAAAAGAGGAUUCAAACAAUUAUGAAGCUUUGGCAAUACAUAAAGUUAUCCUAGUGUAUAAUAAACUAUUUUUUUGCAUCCCAAAUUCAUCCUGAAGAAAUAAAAUCAACCUCUAAUAAUUGGUAGUUUAUUUUUCAUUUCUGUUUUGUUAUCAAACAAUUACAUUUCGAUAAAUUUUCUUCUAAUCGAGAAACUUAAUUAAAAGAAAUAAAUUUUCUCUAUAUUUUCCCUGCUUUGUUUGAUCUUCUUUUGUAAGUGAAUAAUGAAAAAUGAAAAAUGAAUUACUCUUUAGGGAAUGAUUUUGCUCCUUCAAGGUGAAGAUAGCAAAAAAAAAAAAUGUUUAUUACGUGUCAGAAUUUUCUAUACGUUGCAAAAAGUUCCAUUUCUUUUCAAUCGGGAUUUUAUUCUUUUAUAAUAUUUCCUUGUUAGAUAAGUCUCCGCUAAAUACGUAACAUUUUUAUAUUUCAUCGUUAAUCAAUUGUAGAAAGAGAAAUUAAUUUUAGAGCAGUACCUUACGGAGCAUGUAUGCCUGAGAAAGUUAAAUUUUACGAAAUACUACAAAUAUUUUCUCGAUGACAAGAUACGAAAUACCGGUUCAAGUGUUUUCAUUUACAAGUACAAAUCAUUCCCGAUUGGAACUUAUCUCCGAUUUCGCAUUCGAUACACGUGUGCGUUCGAUAUCGUGCUAAUGUAUUUGCGCUCCGUUUCACGCGCAUGCGAAACGACGUCGUUUACGCCGUAUAAUAGAUGAGUGUUUCGCAAGUUUAAGUAAUCGCCUUGAUCGAGUCGUGAUUGAGAAACGUAUUAAAAAUGUCCACGGGUAUUUCCCCAUCGAAACGGCGUAAUCGCUUCCGUUGAUGAUCCGUUGAUAAGUGGAAACGAAAGAAAAAAAAAAAAAAAGAAGAGAAAAAGAUUUCCGUACCUCGGAAGAACCUGUCUCCCGAAACGCAAGCUCAUGUCUGUCCACGUCUGUCAGUGUUCACCAGAGUUUCUCACUCGCGUGUCGCGUUCUGCGUGCAAGUAAUAAGUUACACCACUCCCGCACUGACAACAACACAACGCACGCGGAAUCGAACGUAAAUACGCCGAGACGGAACGUCAUGCUCGAUGACAAAAUCCGCCAACUGGCAAAACGUCAAAACGGUCGCGCGCCGGCGUUACUCGCGAGUGCUCGAUCGCGCGGUGAUCAGCGUCGAUGAUGCUGCACGGAGUUGCAAGUGCGAUGCAAGUGCGAUUGUCGGCGUCGCGCGCGACGCGCCGUCGAUGCCGGUACAAUGAUGACUGGAUGAACUUGACUCGUGAUGAAACUCGGGGCGACGAAAAGGAUGGUAGGGAGCCAUGGGUACGUUUCCCCUGUGGGAACGGACACGCAUAUCGACCUUCUUCUGCUGUAACCAUCUUAUAUCGAGUGUUUAAACGGUGUUACACGAUUUGACGAGCCUUUGUAUCGCAACGGCCGAAUUCGGUGCGAGGACGAGCGAAGCGCUCGACUUCAAUAAACUUCGUUGCCUUUGAUGCAUGCAUGUCACGACGAGUGGAGUUUCCGCAGCAAGGCAAGUUCUGAAGGAUGCGGAAGUAGGGGAGCAUCGUAACUCAAGAGCCAGAUGUGUACUCGUCAAUCAAGUUUCAGUUGCUUGCCGCAUGUGACAAAAAGUCGCGGAAUAUCGUUCCAUUGGAUACGAGCAAUAUGGAAUGGGACGCAAUCUAACGUUUGAUUGACAGUAAACGUUUUCAAGAAAACAAAAGUCCACGGUUGAACUUUAAGGCACUAAGUGAACUCUGGGUCGCAUAAUAGCGUCGGCUAUUCUACAUGGCGCACGGCCAAAAGUUUCUCGAAAUAGCCGUUACUCAAAGAAGACCAAUCAAGAGUAUGCAUUCAAGAUUACGAAUACAACAGAUGGAAAAAAAGAAUUGCCGCCUGAAUCUUUAUCGCGAGGUGAGCGUCCGGUCAACGCGCAGUUAAUGGGGAAGUCAAGCGGCAAAUUGCUCGUCUACCUUCAACCUUCCACGAAGAAUCAAGAGGAGCGUGAUUAUCGAAGCGAUUUGUCGCACGACGACCUCGCGCGCUCGAUCAAUUUCGCGGCUCCGAAAAUUAUAUCGGAGUCUGCCGGCGGCGUGGCGGCGUGACGGCGGCCGAGAGGGCGAAAGGACGAAACAGGUGCGUAUACAAAUACCGUCCUUGCCAUAAGGUACUACGCCCUUCGCCUUCCAGCGGAACCCGGCGCGCGGGGACCUGUCCUUGCGCCACCCUUCUCCUACGCACUCGAAAACGAAACGCGGAGUCUAACGUCGAUGCUGCGCAGCGGAGGUAAAGCGGAAAAGAGGCUCGCGAGGAGGAAAACGGAGGGAAAGAGAAAGAGAGAGAGAGAGAGAUAGAGACGCGGAAUACACGAUAGCUCUCAAGUGCCGCUUAUUACCUCUUGCCUUGGGCUCGCUCGUAGAGUAGCGGAACAGCAACAGGCGCACGCGGGUCGGCGCGGGCAUAAUGAUGACGUUUAGGCGAGGCGAAGUGAGGCGAGACCGAUCCUCCUCUCAGGCUCAAAGCUCAGCGGAAUCGCCGGCGUCCAUGGCCACGCCGCGCGUGCGGCGGAACGAGCGGGUUGAUCAGCGGCGGGUUACCACGUCGCGCGACACCGCGUACCCGCGGCGAUCGGCGACGUGAGGUUGACGUAACACGGGGACGAGCCCGAAACACUCGGAGGGGAAGCUCGAUUAAAGGACAGCGAGAAAAACGGCACCCGGAGGAUGAUUGGAGUCGCGGUGAGGCGAACGCUGAACGUCGCUCAAAGUAUUUGCGGUUGCACUUGGUUGCACUUAUCGAACUUGUCGAGACGUCGAGUAAGGCCAGCGCGAAGCGGAGUACAAGCGAUCAGGUACUCCGAUUUACGCAAAUUCGUCUGGGAUGCGCGUCGAUACUUCGGCACUCGGCCGCCUUCGCGACGCCAACGACGUCGACGGCGUUGCGCGUUACUACAGGGAGACCCUCUCGCGGUUAGCGUAACUCGGAAAGUGAGGGAUUUCAUUGUUCUCCGAUGAUAAUAUAACAGCUGUCAUUUAAAAAAUACAUAUUAAAACACGACGAUUUUUCCCCACAUUUUUAUGUAAAUUUCAGAAUUUUUCAUAAUUUCUAAAAAAUUGUGCUAAAUCAAUAAUGAGAAAUAGUUGCAUGUACCUAUAUUCAUAUCAUUCAUAUGUAUAUAUAUUUAUCUUUAUGAAAUUUAUCAAACUUACACAUGGCAUUUACUUUUGUUAUUUUUUUCUAUUUUCUUUUUCAUAUAUAUUUUAUUCGUAAUUGUUUUUAUUCUUAUCUACUUUUCUAUUAUCUAAGCAUCUUUAUUGUUAUAUGUCUGAUACCUUAUGUCUUGUUGUGUUUCAAAGGAUAUUAUUGUAUAUUCUAAAGUAUCUUAUAAUAAAUUAAUCAAUCAAUCAAUCUUAUUCAUUGUACAUUAUGUUAUAUUAUACAAUACUUUUAUAAUUUAUAAAUUAUAAAAUAAAUAUAUAAGUUACACGUCUAAAUUUUUCCAAGUCUAGAUCACAAUGUUUUUAACAUAAAACGACAGUGAUAUGAAAUAUCAUACUCUUUAUUUUUGCUUUAUUUUCUCUUGUUGACAAUAAAGCCUAUAAAGUACGAUUUCAUUCUUCGUAAUAUAUUAUCAAUAUCUAAAGAUAUUAGGUAUCGAGUAUUGCGUUUAGCACAUGUGCAAAAAUAAUUUGCGUUGAUUCAAUGAAGCAGUAUCUUUCAAUAUUGAAAGAAAGGCAUAGAGUUGCAAUCAUAUUUUGGAUUUUACAUAAAUGUGUCAAACUGUAAUAACAAUAAUAAUAAUAAUACAUAAUAGCUUGCUACUACAAAUAAAAAUUAUCACAAAAUUCAUAAUAAAUUGUAAAAUAUACGGACAAUCGCACGAGAGAUAAGUACUAAGUUUAAUAAUAUAAAGAAUAUACAUAUACGUAUCAGAUAAAAACUUAAAGUCCACGGUUUAAGAAGAAAUAUUUAACAACGUAUAUGUACAAUGAAAUCUAAAAAUAUUGGGUCAAUGCAAAAGCUUUGACCCCCUCCCUUUUUUGGCAUUGCUCUUAUGUCAACAAUGACAGAUAUUAAAAAUUAUAUAUUGAAAGUGAUGACAAGUGCUAUUUAUCAAAAAAAGUUAGUUGUAUUUGAGGUAUUUACAGUGUUAUCUUAUGUCAGCAAAAAUAAGUCUAAAAAAGAAAGGAAAAA